UUUGCUCUGAGGUCACAAACAACACUAUUUUACAUAUGCUUCUAAUAAGACAGUCCUGCUUGUGUGUGUGUGUGCGAGUGUGUGAUGCCGGGCAUAGAGCCAAGGCCUACACACGGUAGGCAAGUAGUCUACCAAGGAGCGAGCCACACUCCUACCUCCUUGCAUAGGCUUUAAAACCACAUAAUUCUGUAUUAUAUUCUUGGCUCCAACACUUGUACAGCUGGAAGAAACUGAUGGAACUGAAGACACCGAGGGUAGUGCUGGACAUUUGACAGGCAACCAACUGAAUACCCAUCUAAAAGCCCUGCCAGCCUACUAGAAACAGCUAGUGAGUGGGGACCUGCAGCCAGGCCUCUUCAUGGAAUUUGUGAUGUGCAUUGUGACUUAAUAAGGAACAAGAUUUCUGAAAUUCAGGUGGUGACUCCAUAUUACCAAUUCCGUAGAUGAUGGGGACUUCAAAGCUCUACAAAGAUAAAAGUAAAAAGAAUCUAAGAUCCUGGCUGCUCCAAAAUGGCCUGUGGCUCGCUACUGACAUCACUAAUCCUCAGAAUUACAGUUAAGUGUAUAGAAGCCAGGUUUGAGGCCUGCAAAGAAAAAGGAGCAUCUCUGUCAAGCGUAUGGGACAGUUAUCAAGCCCACCACCAUAAGAAAUGAGACCUCAAUGUACCAAAUUUUAUCAACCAUCUGACAGACCAUAUAACAAAGACAAAGAUGGAAGUGACAAGAGAAGCUGUAUAACACACUUUUGCUCUCCUGGCAUAGAGCUGACUGAUGUAGUUCAGUGCAAAUUCCCAGGAGUUGAAAUCUGACCUAAGGACCAUCCCCCCAUGUACUAACAAUUUACCAUGUGACCAAUGUCAGUAGGAUUAUUUCUCACUCAGGAAACUGAAAUCAAGAGAAGCAAGUGAUGGCAGUAGGAUCUAAAGUCAAAAGGUGAAUGUGGGAGCCAACAAUAGGUCAUAUAAAACUUAAAGACGGAAUAAAGGAAAACAAUGUACAAGGACAGUUGUGAGAUAGAGAUGAGAUAUAAAUGGAACUAGGAAGAAGAGACCACAAACUCCUGCCCUGAAUUUUUUGUAAUAGCAUCAUUUCUAGGCCCUUCUUGUAGUUCUUCUUCUUAAUGCCUGCUAGGUUUGGGUUGGUGGGUUACCAAGCUCUUAUAUCCUUAAAUAACCUCCAUGUUGCUUGAGAUAACUUGGGUUAGGACUGACAAACCUGCAAACAUAAGAGCUUACGAUUUAAAUGAAUAACAUCUCUUAUAAUUGAAAUUUCCCAAGUCCUGAGCUUUUAUUUCAUCAUGUUAACACAAACUUACUGUAAGACUUCAUAAACUUUCAUAUGUCUAUCAGUAGAUGAAUGGUUAAAGAAAAUGUGCUAUAUAUGCACAAUGGAGUAUUAAU